GCGAUGGGGACUCGCUCGGGGACUUGUCCAGCGCGGCGGCGGAGGAGGGGGGCGGGGCCGCCGGUGAGAGGCCGCCGGCCAUAGACCUGCAGAUGGCCUGGAGUUUGGCGUCGACAGCGGCGGGGAGGGGGCUGGCGGGGGUGUCAGCGGUGGCGGCGGGGGAGCCGUUGCGGCGGCGGUGGGGGAAGUUGAGGCGGGCGAGCUCGCCGCGGAGCUUGAAGGCGGCGUCGUCGUAGGCCAUGGCGGCCUCCAUGGCUGUGUCGAAGGUCCCCAACCAGAGGCGCGUGCGGUUCCUCGGCAGACGGAUCUCCGCCACCCACUUUCCCCAGUGCCGCUGCCGCACCCCACGGUAGAGCUUCCCCGCGCCGCUG
rnacentral:lncRNA from 1 species